AGUACACUGCUGGGUUAUAUGGUAGCUUCAUGUUUAGUUUUUAAAGAAAAUUUGAAACUCUUUUCUAAAGUGGCUGUCCCACCUUACAUUCUCAAUAGCACU
rnacentral:pre_miRNA from 1 species